rnacentral:lncRNA from 1 species
GUAAUUACCAACUUAAUGUUUUUGCAUUGGACUUUGAGUUAAGAUUAUUUUUUAAAUCCUGAGGACUAGCAUUAAUUGACAGCUGACCCAGAUGCUAUAGUACUAUUGACAAACUGGGUUAGAGAAGGAGUGUACCGCUGUGCUGUUGGCACGAACACCUUCAGGGACUGGAGCUGCUUUUAUCCUUGGAAGAGUAUUCCCAGUUGAAGCUGAAAAGUACAGCACAGUGCAGCUUUGGUUCAUAUUCAGUCAUCUCAGGAGAACUUCAGAAGAGCUUGAGUAGGCCAAAUGUUGAAGUUAAGUUUUCCAAUAAUGUGACUUCUUAAAAGUUUUAUUAAAGGGGAGGGGCAAAUAUUGGCAAUUAGUUGGCAGUGGCCUGUUACGGUUGGGAUUGGUGGGGUGGGUUUAGGUAAUUGUUUAGUUUAUGAUUGCAGAUAAACUCAUGCCAGAGAACUUAAAGUCUUAGAAUGG